rnacentral:rRNA from 1 species
AUUGAACGCUGGCGGCAUGCCUUACACAUGCAAGUCGAACGGUAACGCGGGGCAACCUGGCGACGAGUGGCGAACGGGUGAGUAAUACAUCGGAACGUGCCUAGUAGUGGGGGAUAGCCCGGCGAAAGCCGGAUUAAUACCGCAUACGACCUACGGGUGAAAGGGGGGGAUCGCAAGACCUCUCGCUAUUAGAGCGGCCGAUGUCAGAUUAGGUAGUUGGUGGGGUAAAAGCCUACCAAGCCGACGAUCUGUAGCUGGUCUGAGAGGACGACCAGCCACACUGGGACUGAGACACGGCCCAGACUCCUACGGGAGGCAGCAGUGGGGAAUUUUGGACAAUGGGCGCAAGCCUGAUCCAGCCAUGCCGCGUGCAGGAAGAAGGCCUUCGGGUUGUAAACUGCUUUUGUCAGGGAAGAAAUCCCUUGGGUUAAUACCUCGGGGGGAUGACGGUACCUGAAGAAUAAGCACCGGCUAACUACGUGCCAGCCGCCGCCGUAA